GGAGCGGCGACGGACGGGACGGGCCUCCCCUGCCUACAUGGCACCGUACGCGUAUUGGGGAAAAGAGAGGGAGAGAAAUGGAGCUCGUCCUCCCGCACAUGCCGCCUCCUCAUCUCCCCCGCGCCGCCGCCGCCGCCCCCCGCGCCGCCUACUCGCCCUCAUCUCCUACCCGUCUGGCUCGUCGGAGCAGCGGCCGGCAGAGAGCUGCGGUGGUCCGCACUGGAGAAGCAGCAGCGGCCGACGGCGGCGGACACGAUGGCCGUCACGGGCAGAGCAGCGCGAACCCGGCGCGGCUGCCGGGCACCAUCUGGAGAGCCGGUGGCCGGUGGUGCGCGAUCUGGGCGAUUUGGAGGCGAGGCGACAAAGUUGACUAGGACGUCGACGGAAAUCUUCAUCGUGCCGCUUGGAGAGGUGCUCGUCCGGCUCGUCGACGAUCCCCUCUUCUCGACGGAUCCGCGAUGGAGGUGCUCGAGGAGGAGCUUCUUCUCUGGAUGCCAUGGAGAUCGUCAAGCGCCUGAGAUCACCGGCCCGAGCAAGGUGCCACCGAGCACUGCUCCUAGGUCCUCGCAGCUAAGACACAUACCCUCUACAGUUAGAUUGGUACAAUGAUCUCUGACUUGGUGACUUGUGCUACAUCUGAAUUUUGCAAGUAAUUGAAAAUCUGAUCUCUCCUGUUGUACUGCGAGCUAGAAAGGUGGGUAUCUUAAUUCAGAAUGUUAUUAGAAUCUUAUGGACUGCCAUUUACUUGCACAACAUAUGCAGUCAUCUUAUUUGAUCCUUCACUGUCAUAUCACGUCAGGCUGGGGGAAUUGUAACAGGAAAAAACCUGGGUUGUCUCUCCUGAUUGCAAUGAUUUUAGCCCACAAUUUUCAUUUGAUUGAUGUUCUGAAGUAGCUUACUCAAGUCCAGGUUCUCCAAUGAUGUGCAGAACUCUUGCAGGCACCUUUGUAAUUGCAAAAAUUAAGACAAGCUAUGAAGGGACCUUUUCUUGAUCCCUUCAUAGCUUGUCUUAAGUUUUGUUAUGAAUCUGUUCUUGCACUAAUAUCAUAUCAUCCUAAAUGUGAAACCCAGCUACAUGAACUAAAAUUUCUCAUAUCGAAAGAGUCGAGAAGGGAAGCUACUCAAUAUUAUGUUAGGCACUUUGUCAUGGUUCGUCCUCAGAAGCUUCUAUACAUCGCCAUUGGUAGCUGUUGACUGUUGCAAGGACACGAACCAUAUCACAGUUGCAAGAGAGAAUUCGAUAUUAUCAUCGGGUUUGAAGGAAAGAUGUUGCAUGGCCCUCUUGUUUCAAUUGUGUCCUGGUAGUGAUUUAGAGGGCACUGACAUCAAAGGUAAUGAAUCUCCAUUUUGGUUUUUGGUAUUCUUCUCAGGUAUAUAAUAAAUUGUUCGGUUCCUCCAAUUUUCUUCUUGUUAUUUUUCUGAACACAGUCGCCCCUUCCCCAGUUCUGUAAGGAUGUGCGGUUUCUGUUGAUGACCUCGUGGUUGAUUGCAGCUUGACGGAACACAGUUUCAUCAAUAAAUAUGUCCGUGUUGCUACCCUGAGAGUUAGCUUGUUUGGUAGUUGACUCAUGAUAGUUCUUUUCCUUUUAAACUGUUUUUUGAUCAGUAGUUGAUAAACCAUGUGCAAGAUUGGGAGAUUAAAUAAAGAGCUAGGCUGAGGUUUCACCGCUCAGCCUAUCAGUUUGUGUUUGGCUGACAGAAACAAUAUUGUUUGGUUUAUACAAUGAUUACCUGACAAGUUCAUCUUCCUCUUUGCAAAUAUUACAUAAUAAGUAAUGGGACUGCUAUAUUUAAUUCUUUCAUGGCAAUCAGGCUAGGCACAUACAAGAGCGCACACCUCCGCCUUAGGAGUAAGAGGCGUGUGACAUGUGUUUUAGUUUCUAAUAGAAACACAAAAUAUGUCUAUUUCGCUCGUUAGAUAAUUGUUUUUCAUUGUGUGCGCGCGUUGCACACUCAUGUCAUGACCGUGAAUGGAAAUGCACAAAGCAAAUGCAUUAUGACCCGAUGUUGUAAUUUAUAGCACCUAUUGGUCUGGUAAGAUAUGCGUUGUUGCAAAUACAGAAAUCCAACACAAUAAUGUGCGGGAGAAUAGCGCCUCCUUGCGCAUUCCACCUCAUCGUUUUUUACUGUGCUAGCGAGAGAGAGAAAAACUGAGAGGGUAAAAAGGGGUGGACACUACCUAGCGGGGACGCAAUUGGGCGAGAGGAGGAGGCGCUUCUCCUGCUAGAUCCGUGGCCAUCACGUCGCCAUCGACAUCCACCCUCCUCAACAGAUCGAUCGACCGGACGUCGCCGUGAUGUCUCUCUUUGUUGCGGAUUCAUGUGUGUUGUAUGUUCAAUCCAACCCUUACUGCAGGGCCUAGCGAAGGGAAUGAAGAGGCACACCCUCAGCCACGACUCUGUCCUUCAGCUACAAAAGCUAGAUAGAUUGUAAUCAGUUGCGUGAUUGAAACAACAUUUAGGUCAUCACAAAGGGCUCAAAAUGUUAUUAAGCCAAACCAUUGAUUUUGUGUUAUUACAAUAUUAUGUAUUAGAGAUGUGAUGUGAUUCGCCAUGUCCAGCUCAUCCAUUUGUAUCUAAGUUCAACUGGCUAAAAAAGAAGCUAGAUUUGGUACAAGUGUUUUUUGGGAGAUAUGUCCAUGAUAAUCGUAGUAAUCUUAGUUCUUGGCCUUUCAUUUGGGAAAAAAGCUAGAUCUAUUCAUGAUAAUCGUAGUUCUUACCUUUCAUUAUUUAUCUUUAGGUAUGCAAAGAGGUUGGCUUUGGUACAAGUCUUUUUUGGUAGAUUAGUUACACUGAAAUUCGAUAAACAUUUGCUGAAUAUACAGUAUCACAUGAAUCCUUGUAUUAGCUUGUUUCCAAAUGCUCAGAUUUAUGAGAGGAGGAUUUUAGAUGGUUCAAAUGUCCUGCCUCCUAGCUAUAACAAGGAUUAUACAUGCCUCUUGUUUGGCAGCUACACUCUUAUAAAUGACAGGAUGGAAGGGAAGACAAGGAGGGCACAGGAAACAGUCGACAAAACAUGGUUGAAGUUGUUGUUCUGCACCUCAUCCAAACCAUCUUUAGAUGUAUGUCUUGAGCUGAACCCUCACUUUUCUUGCAACCUUGGUAUAUCAUGCCUCGAUGUCCUUGGUAGUUAUUAAUUUGUUUCUAUAUUAAGUGACUUCGCUGAUAUAACAUGGCAUCUUUAGAAGCUUAUAGGGUCUUCCUUUCUUGUAUUACAUGUCGCAUAACCUUCAUUGAUAGAAAGGUGAUCACACAAUACUUUGUGUUCAACAAUCCAGUUGUUACCUGUGUAUAUCUUGUGUUCUGUUAACUCCAUCAAUCUGAGUUUAUGAAAAUCCAGUUCCCUGUGUAUAUUUGUCAGCAAGUCCACUGUCAUCUAUUUCCUUGUUUAAUAGAUAAUGUUACAUAUUUUUUUGCAAAACUGAGAACAUUAAGUAGAUGACAUGAAAGAUGAAACAUAGCUCUAUGAGAGUUGUUGGCCACUACAUGUACUCCCUUUUUGGUAGUAUUUUCUUUUACCUUCAGAGCUGAAAAGUGAUGUUGUGCUAGUUGUAAGCUGACACAGAAUCAACUUCAGUUUGCUAAAGAAAAUUCUCCUUUUCUUUUUGUUUAAUGCCGAUCUUUAUAAAGCACACGUGAUGAUGUUUAAUCAGUUUGACUUUGACCAUACUUUCAUGUGAUCCCUCUAGGUGUGCUUUUCUUUUCCUCCUUAUCAUUUUAUUAGUAGUUUAGGUUGUAGAUUUUUCCUGUUUUUGACAGUACCUUGGGUGGCUGCCAAAUUUGCACCAUUUUGUAGCAUUUUUGAACCCAUGCUCGUGAAUUUUUUUUAAGUUGGUUUGGUUAUGCACAUUUAGUGUACUGUAAUGCAAACCACAUGUAUGCAUAUUAGUCUGAUAUGACUCAUGCUUGUUGUCCAAGGAGUACUGAGUUUAUUGCAUAUACAGUUUCUUUAUAACAUGUGGCUUUUUGUGUGGUCAUGAACAAAUGUGUGUCUACUUCUUGGAGUCAUCCAUGUGGUUCACUUGUCUCUGUUAUGUUGUUUGUAAUUAAGAUUUGCAAGGGCAUGUGCUAUUUUGCCUCAUGCAUCUCUCUCGCGUCCCUCUCGUCGUCGGCUUUGUGCCUCACGAUUCCCGAUUAGAGAAGAUUGGGAGAAUGUCAUUAUGUCAGUUCAAUUGGAGAAUAGAAUGGUGGUGAUUACUGAUUAGGACAGAAUGUCAUUAUCUCAGUACAAUUAGAGAACAGGUGGAUUGUGCAUGAACCGAUUAGUUGUGGAGUUUUAGGAAACAAAAGAGAUGUCUUUUUGUGCCUGCUUGUGAGUUUUUGUGGUAUGAAAAACAUGUACGAUGAACUUCUUUACUGAAAUAAUAGUUAUAUGUUUCUUUUCUACAUCUAGAAAUGCUCUUACUAUGCACUAGAAGGCGCAUUGAGAAGGCGCAGAUCUACUCGAUGCACGCUUCUGAUGGAUCGGUGCCUUCACCUCUUAUAGUUUGUUCACCACAUGAUAUGCCAAACACAAUUUUUGAUGGAAUCUGGAUGGUGUUGCACCUCGGCUUAGCGAUGAACAAGGCGGUGCGCUCAUGUUGUCUCCCUGGUAUGGCCCCUCUCACUUCUGCAGCAUUUAUCUCAACUUAUAAAUAUCCCGCGUUCUUAAGCUUUUGGCCAUACUCAAUUCUUUUACCUAUUUUCCAUGGAAACAUCCGAUCGGCAUAUCAGGGCUUGUUAAUCUUGCAAUGAGGCGCAGACCAAUGGGCACUACAGCAGUAUAAUGGGAGACAGAGGUCCUGAUAGAGUAUAAGUAGUUCAUUAAUUGAAUAUAUUCAGGGGUGAUAUGCCUUGCAUUAUGUUUGGCGCAUGCAUGUGUGGAACACUGUAUGUCCAGUUGCUGAUGAUAAAAAACCAAGGUAAUUGUAACUAAGCUAGAUGAACUUACUGGCAAAGUAGAUCAUCUGAAAGGAUGGCAACCACACAACCUGAUUUCUGUGCUAAGCAAGCUUUAUCAAACCCUUGAAUGCAAUGUAUGAGAUCUGUCCGGCAUAUAAACAAUGCACUUGCUGCAAUAAAAUAAAUCUCUUAAAUAUUCUUAAAGGAUGUAAGAAGAAGAACCUAAAAUAUCAGUCUUUGUGUUGUAUCCAAGUCAUUGGAUUGGAAAUGGUUAGAAAACUAUCAGAUGAUUUUAAUUGCACACUGUCCAAUAGACGUAACAAGACUAGGUACUUAGGUUGGUCAAUAUAACUCAUUUUGUCAUUCUAUCGACUAUAACUAUUAAUUAUGAUUCAUUUCAAUCAUGUUUAUACACAGCAAGCUUGUGCUGAUAAAAGUCCUAUGUCAGCUGAUGGAGCACUUGCAGGUUCAAGUUUGUUUAAGAUCAUCGUGGAGUCACAUUUGAAGGUUGCUGUUGAUUCUGCAUUUGAGGAUAAUGAUGAUGCUGAAUACUUUCGUGUUUCUGUUUCAAGUAUGUUGAAAUUUUUAAUAAAUAUUUCCUAUUCAGAGCACCCUCCACUUCGUGGCUCCUUCAUUUAUACUAAUGAAGUACUUCUUGGUGCACAAUGUGAUGAGCAAUUGGCCUUGUAUGCUCUGAUUGCACGCGUAGCUGCUGACACCACCAUACCCUUGAGCAAUUGUUUUGUGAGUGAUUUGCAUGGCUAAGUCAGGUCUCCUUCUUAGCUUCAUCUUGUGACUUAUCUUGGUUCAAAAUUACCUAUGUGUCCCUGCUAUAAUAGCCUUCUUUCCAUGAUAAUGAUCCCACUCAUACAUUGGAGAAGAUGUAUUGGCUGUUUUCUUAGCUGAAAACAAUGAGAGAAUCUAUCACUAUGGCAUUUCAAUUAAAUAAAUUAAUGUCUGUACAUCAAGAUUACCAGCCAUGUCCUAAUUUAUUCAGGCGAAGGAGAAACACUGCUUGUAGAUAAUUCAAAGCUUCCUUCUUUGUACUUAUGUUUUCAUUUUUUUAUAAACUAUUUGCAGUUCCAUCUACUUCUCAUAGUUUCUGCAAUUUUCAAAUUUGAAUUGUGUUAUAGGCUUUAGUUCUUGUAACAUAUGGUACUCGAUUGAUCAUCGUGUAUAUUGUGUAAACAUAAAAUGAUGCACUGAAUGCACUAUGCUCUUUCCAAUUGUUAAUUGUGUUUUUCUCUAUCCGCUAAGAUAAAAAUCACAACUCUCAAAGUUUUAACAAUUAGUUAUUUUUGUCACAGAUUUCUGAGGCUUUACAUUAUGGAUUCACCAAUGCAGUUGAAGUAGCUCAACAUCCUGUAGUUACAUUUUUUCAUGGUAGUAAUGUUUGCUUAAUGGUGGCUUAAUAGAGCUAGAUGUUUGCUAGAAUACAUUAAACGCCUCAUUUUAUACCUGGUAAUGUAUGUGUCAUCGCAUGUUCAUACAAAUGUAGUGUGCUAAUGAGUUCA